rnacentral:rRNA from 1 species
AAAGGAAUAGACGGGGACCCGCACAAGCAGUGGAGUAUGUGGUUUAAUUCGAAGCAACGCGAAAAACCUUACCAGGCCUUGACAUCGUGCGCAUACCUAAGAGAUUAGGGAAGUCCUUCGGGACGCACAGACAGGUGGUGCAUGGUUGUCGUCAGCUCGUGUCGUGAGAUGUUGGGUUAAGUCCCGCAACGAGCGCAACCCUUACUGUUAGUUGCUACGAAAGAGCACUCUAACGGGACUGCCGUUGACAAAACGGAGGAAGGUGGGGACGACGUCAAAUCAUCAUGCCCCUUAUGGCCUGGGCUACACACGUACUACAAUGGGCAGAAACAGAGGGAAGCAAGAUAGCGAUAUGGAGCAAACCCCUAAACCUGCUCUCAGUUCGGAUUGCAGGCUGCAACUCGCCUGCAUGAAGUCGGAAUUGCUAGUAAUCUCGAAUCAGCAUGUCGAGGUGAAUACGUUCCCGGGUCUUGUACACACCGCCCGU